CAUCUCCGUUGCACCGCGCUC
rnacentral:piRNA from 1 species